rnacentral:rRNA from 1 species
UACGGAGGGGGCUAGCGUUGUUCGGAAUCAUUGGGCGUAAAGGGCGCGUAGGCGGCCGAUCAAGUCGGAGGUGAAAUCCCUCGGCUCAACUGAGGAACUGCCUUCGAUACUGUUCGGCUUGAGUCCUGGAGAGGGUAGCGGAAUUCCCGGUGUAGCGGUGAAAUGCGUAGAGACCGGGAAGAACACCAGUGGCGAAGGCGGCUACCUGGACAGGUACUGACGCUGAAGCGCGAAAGCUAGGGGAGCAAAACAGG